rnacentral:lncRNA from 1 species
AGUGUGCUAGCCAUUUGAAAAAACAAAAAAAAGAAAUACACAAACAUGACCAAAAAAAUGACAUAAAUAGCCAUGUCUUAAUUAAUAUGUAUGAACAGAAAAAAAAAAUAAUAAAUAAACAAUUUGUUGCACAUAAAAAUGAAAUAUUGUUAUUUUUUCUUUUUUAACACGAUUUAUCUCUUCCUUAUCUAAUCAAAUACAUUAUGAAUAGUUUAAUAUUUAUAAAAAAAAAAAAAAAAUUACCAAAACGUUUUAACAAAUUAUAUAACAUAUAUAUAUAUAUAUAUAUAUACGUAUAUGUAUAUAAUAUAAUAGCCAUAUUUUUUUUUUUUUUUUUUUUGACUUAAGUUAAUAUACCAAUGAAAAAACUUUACGGGUCAAAAAACGAUGAUUCUAUGCACUAUGAUAAAGAAAAAAUAAUAAACGAAAUGGGUGAUAAUAAAGUUCUUAUAUUACCAACUUGUUCAAAUACAUAUGUAGACAAUUCUUCUCUUAGAUUUCAAAGCAUAAAACCUUCCUAUUUUAUAACUAACAACUUGAACAAUGCAUAUUUUAAUGACGAAAAUAAACACAUAACGUUUGAAAAGGAACAUGAUGAAAAAAAAAAUAUGAUGAAAAAAAAGUUUUUUUAUGACUUGUCAGAAGAACAAAGAGUAGAAGUAGAAAAAUUAAAAACCCAAAAAAUAAUACAAAAUGAAAUGUAUUUAAAAAGACAAAAGGUUUUAAAAUAUGUUAUACAAUUUUUUUUAAGUGAUCUGUUAAAAGAUAAACCAGAAAAUGUGUAUGAAUAUGCAGCUGAAUAUUUUACUCGUCCGAAUUUGAAGCAGCAGGUUGUACAAAAUUUGAAAAAUAUGCUUACUAAGUCAUAAAAAAAUGAAAAAUAUUAUUUUGAUUGAUGUUCGCCAUAAUGUUAAAAAAAAGGUAUUGUCAUACAAAACAAAAUUAUCCCCAUUCUCCACAUUAUCACCACAAACUUUUUUUACAACCACAAUUUAAUUAUGCUAUUAAUAAACACUCACGCUUUUAAUAUAUCUUUUUUUUU